rnacentral:rRNA from 1 species
UACGGGGGGAGCAAGCGUUGUUCGGAUUACUGGGCGUAAAGGCGCGUAGGCGGCCUCUGCAAGUCGACUGUGAAAUCUCCGGCUUAACCCGGAAAGGUCAGCCGAUACUGCAGGGCUAGAGUGCAGAAGGGGCAACUGGGAAUUCUCGGUGUAGCGGUGAAAUGCGUAGAUAUCGAGAGGAACACCUGCGGCGAAGGCGGGUUGCUGGGCUGACACUGACGCUGAGGCGCGAAGCUAGGGAGCGAACGGG